UUCAUUGGUUCAUACUCCACUUCCCCCAGUAUUGAAGCUCUCUGGUUUACAUUGUUUGCGACUGGUUCCUCCUGUUGUUACCCUGACUGCUUCCCUGACUGCAUGUUCCUGUCAUUUUCCUGCUUAUGUUAUCCACCUUCCUGAGACCCUGUACCAGGUCAAACUGAGAAGGUGGAAAACUCAGAUUAUUUUAUGAAGCCUCUCCAGCGUUUUGCAGGUACAAUUCAGAUACGUCUAACUUCUAACUAUGAUAACCUGAUCACCUUUUGCACCCUUGGCUGAAGAAAGGUAGCCCCACAACAUGACGCUGACACCACCAUGCAUGCUUUUGUAGUCCACACAGAGAUGUUUAUGUUUUAUUCACAGGGGCAAUCAUCAAUCCGAGCGGCCUGCAGCAGCUGUCUGACAGAAUUAGCUCCAGGUGAAGGUCCGCGGUACUCAGCUUUGGUUUCGGCUUCAUGACACAUUCAUGAGGACGCGACAGAGCUGUGACCAAGACUCCUUGGGACUCACUGCAGAAGGCCCACGUAAACUGUAUAGCCAAGCAAGAAGAAUUUUAUCAGAGAAGCACCCAAGAGGCCUAUGGUAUCUCUGGGAAGCUGCAGAGAUCCACAGCUCAGGCUGGGGAAUCUGUUGAGUCAAUGUGUGUGCUCUAGAAAAAAAAUCGAUCUAAAAUGGAUGAAUUUAGGUUUGAAGUAAACCAUUCAAUUGCAGCUCUGGCUGGAUGUUUGGGGCCAUUGUUCUGCUGGAAGGUAAACCUUUGGCCCAGUCUCCAGAAUUUACAGCUUCUAACAGUUUCUUGUCCAGGAUUGUCUUAUUCAGCUUCAUCCGUCUUCCAUUAACUCCCCCCAGCUUCCCUGUCCCUACUAAGGGAAAGCCUCCCCUCAGCAUGAUGCUACCACCACUAUGUUUUAAUGUGAAGAUGGCAUAUUCAUUGGGAUUAGUUUUUAUUAACUUGGCAACUUUGAGGAUGUUAGCUGCACUUUAUUUAGAGGUAUCAGAAUAAAGAGGGCUGACUCCACAUGCA